UUUAUAGAAAAUUUUUAUUCAACAUACAUUUUCCAGCAAAAAGGCAAUAUACAGGAAUAGUUGUCGUACACUGUUGCUACACUGAGGAUUUUGAAGUGGAAAAGAUCAAAUUAAGGUGUGAUUCUGCAGGUCAUCUCUGUACUGCACUUCUUUACAAGACAAACCAAUGCAGUUAGUUUUUAAAAGAAAAACAAUCCAAAUGUAACAGAGGGGGGAAAAACCUGUCAAUGGUACAUCAGGAACGCAAAACAAACAAACAAAAAGAAACCUACACACAAAAAAUAUGAACACCUGGCUCCUUCUGUACCCAACAACAAAGGCGUGUGUUUCUCUUAAAUUUUACACGUUCAUAUUUUUAAAUAUACAAUUCUUAAAUGUUGUCUGUACAGAGCCAGCUAUGCGCUAUUAGGGGUGCAUUCCAUCUGUGCUUUAAAAGAAAGAGAAGAAAACAAAACCUGAAAUUAACAAAAGAAAAAAGAAAUUCAUAGGGCUUAAAGUGUUUCUUACAAUGCUGGUUUUUGUCUCUACACAAUCCUCAAACCAGUGGGGCUCUAAAUGUCUGCAGCUCCCUACCAAGCACAGCGCAGUUACUGCUGCCAACCACCAGGGGGCGACAGAUUCAAUCAAGAAAGAAGAGAGAUGUUGCAGCUUGUGUGUGUGUGUGUGUGUGUGUGUGUGUGUGUUUUACAAGAGGAAUGACUGAGAGGAGGGGGACAAACCUUUAGCAACCCCCAGAAAACUAAAAAGGACGUCAUCAGGGAGGUAACACAUAUCUGUGUGUGUGAAUGUUACCUAGCAACUCACAAUAAAAAAAAAAAAAAAAAAAAAAAAAAAA